rnacentral:rRNA from 1 species
UCCUCUUGUUAUAAUUUGAGGACUGACCUGUCCACUGARUAUUUAAGGACCGCGGUAUAUUGACCGUGCAAAGGUAGCAUAAUCAUUAGUCUUUUAAUUGGRGGCUGGUAUGAAUGGUUUGACGAAACAAUAACUGUAUUURAAUAAUAAGUUGAAUUUUAUUUUUAAGUUAAAAAGCUUAAAUGGUUAAUAGGGACGAGAAGACCCUAUAGAUCUUUAUAAUUCUUUCUAUAUGAUAGGAUUGGUUGAAAAAUUUUUAUGGUAUAUGAAUUAUUUUGUUGGGGUGACAUGAGAAUAUAAAAACUUCUUGUUUUUUGACUUGUAUUUGUGGUUAAUAUGAUCCUUUAUUAUGGAAUAAAGAUUAAGAUACCUUAGGGAUAACAGCGUAAUUUUGUUGGAGAGUUCUUAUUGAUAAUGGAGAUUGCGACCUCGAUGUUGGAUUAAGAAUAAAUUUUGGUGUAGAAGCUGAAAAUUUUGGUCUGUUC